AUUGAACGCUGGCGGCAUGCCUUACACAUGCAAGUCGAACGGUAACGGGCCUUCGGGUGCCGACGAGUGGCGAACGGGUGAGUAAUGUAUCGGAACGUACCUUUCAGUGGGGGAUAACGUAGCGAAAGUUACGCUAAUACCGCAUAUUCUGUGAGCAGGAGAGCAGGGGAUCGCAAGACCUUGCGCUGAUUGAGCGGCCGAUAUCAGAUUAGCUAGUUGGUGAGGUAAAGGCUCACCAAGGCGACGAUCUGUAGCGGGUCUGAGAGGAUGAUCCGCCACACUGGAACUGAGACACGGUCCAGACUCCUACGGGAGGCAGCAGUGGGGAAUUUUGGACAAUGGGGGCAACCCUGAUCCAGCCAUGCCGCGUGAGUGAAGAAGGCCUUCGGGUUGUAAAGCUCUUUCGGCCGGGAAGAAAUCGCUUAGGUUAAUACCCUGAGUGGAUGACGGUACCGGAAUAAGAAGCACCGGCUAACUACGUGCCAGCAGCCGCCGUAAAAC
rnacentral:rRNA from 1 species